UACGUAGGGGCCGAGCGUUGUCCGGAAUCACUGGGCGUAAAGCGCACGUAGGCGGCUUUUUAAGUCAGGGGUGAAAUCCUGGAGCUCAACUCCAGAACUGCCUUUGAUACUGAGAAGCUUGAGUCCGGGAGAGGUGAGUGGAACUGCGAGUGUAGAGGUGAAAUUCGUAGAUAUUCGCAAGAACACCAGUGGCGAAGGCGGCUCACUGGCCCGGUACUGACGCUGAGGUGCGAAAGCGUGGGGAGCAAACAGG
rnacentral:rRNA from 1 species